UGGAGUCUCACCUCAGUCACACAGACUCAGU
rnacentral:piRNA from 1 species